UACGUAGGGUCCGAGCGUUGUCCGGAAUUACUGGGCGUAAAGAGCUCGUAGGUGGUUUGUCGCGUUGUUCGUGAAAACUCACAGCUCAACUGUGGGCGUGCGGGCGAUACGGGCAGACUGGAGUACUGCAGGGGAGACUGGAAUUCCUGGUGUAGCGGUGGAAUGCGCAGAUAUCUGGAGGAACACCGGUGGCGAAGGCGGCAUCCUGGACCGAGACUGACACUGAGGAGCGAAAGCCAGGGGAGCAAACGGG
rnacentral:rRNA from 1 species